rnacentral:rRNA from 1 species
ACGCUCGACACCUACGGGGGCAGCAGUUGGGAAUAUUGGACAAUGGAGGAAACUCUGAUCCAGUGACGCCGCGUGAAGGAAGAAGGUCUUCGGAUUGUAAACUUAUUUUGUCAGGGAAGAAAAAAUGACUGUACCUGAAGAAAAAGCACCGGCUAACUACGUGCAGCAGCCGCGGUAAUCUGAGCGGGCUGGCAAGGC